CGCGGUAUUUUGACCGUGCAAAGGUAGCAUAAUCAUUUGCCUAUUAAUUGUAGGCUAGUAUGAAUGGUUUGACGAAAUAUUAACUGUCUCAUAUUUAAAUUAUAUAAUUUAAAUUUUAAGUUAAAAUGCUUGAAUUUUUUUAUUGGACGAGAAGACCCUAUAGAUCUUUAUUAUUUAAAUUUUAAAUUAAAUUUAGAUUUUAUUUUAUUUUAUUUUUAUAUUGUUUAGUUGGGGUGAUUUAAAGAUUUAAUUAACUCUUUAUUUUUUUGUACAAUUAUUUUUGGUUAAAUUGACUUUUUAUUAUUGUUAAAAGAUAUAGAUACCUUAGGGAUAACAGCGUAAUUUUUUUUAAGAGUUCAUAUCGACAAAAAAGAUUGCGACCUCGAUGUUGGAUUAAGAUUUUAAUUAGGUGUAGUAGCUUAAUUUAUAGGUCUGUUCGACCUUUAAAAUCUUACAUGAUCUGAGU
rnacentral:rRNA from 1 species